rnacentral:lncRNA from 1 species
CUGCAGCCGAGGGAUUUCGAACGGGCGCCCCCAGCUCCAGCUCCGUCGACGGCAGCCGUAAUCUCCCGACAUGGUGGCCUCCCUGUCCCCGUCCCGCGCGGAUCCAGAAUCCUUGUCGAGGCGCCGCCCUGGAGGCGUUGCAAGCGCUGCGCCCUGCUCCCCCUGUGACUCUUCGAGGCUGGAUGGAGCAGGAGGAGCUCCACCUUGCGUCUCCCGGACAGAUCCAUCACCGGUAAGGCUCAGCCAUGACCACCCCUCCUCCUCCUCCUCCCCUCCCACCCCAUGCCCCCUUCCCCAUCUCACCCGCCCGGUCUUCUCCAUGGCGCGGGAUUCCCAUCCCCCCGGCGAGCUGUCCUACUUCCCCUCCCCUUCGGUGAGUUCGGCCUUCCACCUCGUGCAGUUCGGCCACCAGACUUGAAGUGUGUUAGGUCACGCGAUGUGGUGCGGCGGCGCAUGGUCGUGCAGUUCGCGGCCACCAUGGGCCUCCUCACCUCUACCUCCAUGGUCGCGUCCUCAACCAGCGGCGCCCUCCCCGGCGGAUGCUGUCUGGCGGUGCUAGGCAUGUAGUGCUCGGGUGAGCCGCACGCAGUACAGUGGCAGAGUGUGUGCACUACUCGGAGCUAGCCAGAGAACCACCGCAUCUCCCUCUGCACCCCUCGAGCCUUUCCCCUGUUAUGUUGGCAAUGGCAAGCACAACUGGCAGCCGUGCCCUGCAAAAAUGAAAGCCGCUGCCGACACACCAUGGUGAGCAGAGGAGGGCCUCCACCCCGGGCCCCGUGCAGUUCGCACGGUGCACUUGUGCGGUGCGGAGCGCGUGUGCUUGUAAUUCGCGGUGUGCAAUUGUUCGCCUGCACAAUUGUUGGUGAUUCCCCUCUUUAUUUUAUGCCCCCUUCCACCUAUCUUAUGUCGGCGACCAUCACGGCCAGCCCAGACGACGACGCCACGGCAAGCAGAGGAGGCCUCCUGCAGUUUGCGUCGUGCGCCUCGUGCUGUGCGGAGCGCCUGUGGGUGCAGUUUGCACAGACGAGGCCGUCCGGGAGGCGUACGAGGACAACGGCAACACACACUGUGAAGAACAAAAAUGUUGCACAAGCACGAUAAAACAGGAAUAUCUGUCACAUCCACCUUGGCGGCUCUCCCUUGUGGCAACGAGAUUUGUCGUGUGCUUCACUGAUUUUGUGUUUUUCUAAAGAAAAAAUCAAAGCGCAAUGUUGUCUGCUAUUAUUUGCUCUUGAAGUUCAGCUUUUUUGCAGGGAGAAAAGCGAUGCAGUACGGUUGAAUGCCGCGUUGCAUUUUUUUGGAGUUUCCUCAUGCAGUUUGGAGCGAGCCCCCCUCUCGUGAAGUCCUUCAACGCGUCCAUGCGGCACGGCAAGUGAGUGUGUGCACUCCACGACACUUCGGUCACUGGUGGCCAUCGUGCAGUCCGCAUUGCCGACGGGAAAACCAAAAACUCUAUAGAGAAAAAGAAAAAGAAAAAUGCAGUGCACUCAGGUCUUUAAAAAAGUCCGCUCAGAAGGACUUUGUAGUACACUUCAUUUAAAAAAUUGUAUUUGCAAAUGUUUACGUUGUGUUCGUUUAAGCAGUUUAAAAUACAAAAAAAGAAUAGUGUGGUUCA